AAGCGAAAGCGGAAGCGGAA
rnacentral:scRNA from 3 species